CUUCAGACAGGUAAGUACAACCGGGAAAAUCUCUGCUUCAACAACCAUCUCUGCCAGGUCCACAGAGUGCUUUGCAAUGUGACUGAGAGCUGACAGGACCUGGUGCUGAUAAGCAGAAACAUAAAUAGGGUUGAGGAUCAUCUGGGCUAAGUGAGCAAUAGCUCCUACAUCCACCACCGUCUGUGCUAACUCGGGAGAAUGCUUUGAAAUAUCACCGAGGGCCGAGGCAGCAAUCCUUUUCAAAGCAAUUUCUGGCUCCUGGAUACAGAGCACUAAAAGAGGAACAGCUCCCGCAUCCACCACAGCUUGUGACAGUUCUGUGGGUCCAAGAAAAGUAAUUAAGUAUCUAUGUGGGAUAAGUGCAGGUGCCCCUGGAGUCCAGAGGUGUCAUCCCUGGAGCUGGAGUUACAACAGAUGUAAGCCACCUGACACUGGUCUUGGGAGCUGAACUCAGGUCCUCUGGAGGAGGAGGAGGAUGUGCUCUUAACCAGCUCCUCACCUAGCAUUUUUAAUGUUUGUCUCAAACCACAUUGGUUAAGAUCCCUUCCACGUGCUAUGCAUUUCAAGAGCUGCACAUAGAUCAGAACUGAAGAGGAAUAGCACACAUGUGGAAGCCAGCCCAUGGCAAUCAGAGGCAGAGUUGUCUGACAUCAUGAGGGGCUUGAACUGAAGAGGACGGUAUCCUGGAGACACUCUUUCCCCACAGAGGAGGGGCUGGGAAACUAUUGACUGUCCAAGAGUUCCAUCAGAAGCUGCUGGUGACAGAGGCACCAUCUAACCCUGCAGCUUCCUCAGCUGGACCCAGACACAGAAUCAUACCCUCUAAGGAUGGCAAGCUGUCCUGACCUCAGCAGAUCAUCCUGAAUAGCAGCUAUGCUCCAAGACAAACCUAGCAAUCACAGAGACAGUAAGGUAAAACAUUCACAUUUCUAAAACUUGUCCUGGUUAAAAAAAUAAUACGGUAAACAAUAGGAUAUGUUAUUUUUCUAUUCUAGAAAGGCUUUUUUAAAGAUUAAAAACAAGCCAGUCACUGUGUGGCUGGUGAAUGGUGUUUCACAAGAUUAUACUUUCAGGGAUCAUUUCUAUAGUUUGUGAAUGGUGUUUCACAUAUAUAUGUUUCAUAUGGUCAGGUAAUAAAAAAACUGAAAGUGAGACAUAGGAGUAACACAUUUCUCUCCAUUUGCUAAAAAGUUACUGCCUCACCCCCUGCGCAGCCUGUAUCCGAGAAUGUGCAGAGGGUGUCGGGAUUGAUGACACAGAGACCAGUCAACGAUGUAAAGAAAACUUUAAGCAGGCCCCAAAAAGGCUCAAGAAGACU